rnacentral:rRNA from 1 species
CUUACUGCUAUCGGGGUGAGACUAAGCCAUGCAAGUUGCGCGCUUCUAAGCCAUGGUAGAGGAGCAGCGUAAGGCUCAGUAAAACAUGGUUAACUUGCCCUCAAGACGGGGAAACCCCCGGGAAACUGGGGAUAAACCCCGAUAGGUGAGAUGGUCUGGAAUGAUAUCUCACCCAAAAAACAUCAAGGCCAUGCUUCUUGAUGUUGCUUGAGGAUAGGACCAUGUCCGAUCAGGCAGUUGGCGAGGUAACGGCUCACCAAACCUAUAACCGGUACGGGCCGUGAGAGCGGGAGCCCGGAGAUGGAUCCUGAGACAAGGAUCCAGGUCCUACGGGGCGCAGCAGGCGCGAAAACUCCGCAAUGCGCGAAAGCGUGACGGGGCCACCCCGAGUGUUACCUGCUGAAGGUAACUUUUCCUUAGUCUAACUAGCUGAGGGAAUAAAGGGAGGGCAAGUCUGGUGUCAGCCGCCGCGGUAAUACCAGCUCCCUGAGUGGUAAGGACGAUUAUUGGGCCUAAAGCGUCCGUAGCCGGCUUGAUAAAUUUCCCGUUAAAUCCGGCGAUCCAAUCGUCGGGCUGCGGGAAAUACUGUUAAGCUUGGAGGCGGGAGAGGCCGGCGGUACUCUUGGGGUAGGGGUGAAAUCCUAUAAUCCCAAGAGGACCACCAGUGGCGAAGGCGGCCGGCCAGAACGCACUCGACGGUGAGGGGCGAAAGCUGGGGGAGCAAACCGGAUUAGAUACCCGGGUAGUCCCAGCUGUAAACGAUGCGGGCUAAGUGUCGGGAUGGUCAUAGUGCCAUUCCGGUGCUGCAGGGAAGCCGUUAAGCCCGCCGCCUGGGGAGUACGGCCGCAAGGUUGAAACUUAA